CGACCUCCGUGGACUGUCUGGUCCCCAGACUGGGCUGGGCGAGUACCUCUUUGAAAGUCUCACCCUCAAGCACAGCUAGGAGC
rnacentral:pre_miRNA from 1 species